CCCAAAUAAAAUUGAAUUAAUACAUAUAUCACUUUAUUCUCCCCAAUUUUCCAAAAUAUAAAAUUUGGCCUCUGAAAUAAUUAAAGUAUAUUCUAUAAAAUUUUCAGGACGUUACGGUUAUUCUAAUAAACAAAAUCCAGCUUUACAAAGAAGUCUAACAACCUACACAAAUUUGGUUGUUAUCCUAUCAAUAAUAUCAGUCAUACUAACGUACACUAACACCCCUGGCAAACUGAUGGGUAGCAUGCAAAUCAUUAGUUUAGACCUCAAGAACUAAAAUCAUGAGGCUGUAUGCCCUCUAGUAAACACCUUAGCAACUUAGUCUUUUGUAGAAAUAUAACAAACAUAAACAUCUUUCUUCACAACCUUUUCUCUGACAAAAUGAUAAUUCACUUCAAUAUGCUUUGUCCUAGCAUGAAAAACUGGGUUUAUACUAAAGCAAUUUCACCUAUAUUGUCACACCAAAUCACAGGACAUUUAGAAAGAGAAAUCCCCAAUUCACGUAAAAGCAUACGUAUCCAAUAGAGUUCAGCAAUUGCCAGAGCCAGUGAUCGAUAUUCAGCUUCUAUAUUAGAACGAGAUACGACGUUUUUCUUUUUGGUGCUCCAUGAAACCAAUUUUUUGCCUAGAAAAAUGCCAUACCCACUGCUACUGCGUCUGUCAUCCGAAUUUCCUACCUAGUCUGAGUUAUAGAAAGCAUUUAGAUCUAUUAUUAAGGGAGAGUAAUAAAAACCAUUGUCAACUGUCCCUUUUAGAUAUCGAAGAAUACUUUUUAGAGCUAGCCAAUGUCCUUUGAGUGGGUAAUGCAUGAAUUGGCAAAGUUGGUUGACAACAUAAGAAAUGUCUGGUCAUGUAAUAAUGCAAUAUUAAAAUGCACCAACAAUCAUUCUGUAUUCACUAGGUGUAAGUAUUAUGCCCUAG
rnacentral:lncRNA from 1 species